UAUAUGACAUACACUAUAGAUUUUCAGUACUGGCAGCGAAUAUCAGAACACGGCUAUUAUUACAUCAUGGUUUAUAGCAUACAUAUUAUUACAUCAUGCUAUAAACUGCAUUUGGGCAACAGGUUUUUACAGAUAGGGCGAUCAUGCAUUACCAAGAUGCCAACGCCGUUUGGAGACUUCAGAUUCCUAUGGAGUGCGUUCUGAUUCCAUUAUCCUCUCAGACACUUUUCGUUAAACUCCGCCCAUCACCCGCUCACCCGACUAUCACCCAUCGGGUGAAGAAUUGGAACACAGCCUAAGAUAAUCUGCACGUGUGAAGCCAAAACUAGUAACACUCUUAUGAUUGGAACAUGUAGAAUACUUCGUUAAACAGCACGCAACGAAUCAAUUAACAAAAUCAGUACGAAAAAUCGUACACGUGUGCCGCAGGCUUUAUACAAUGUCGCCUGUAUACGUUGCUGGAAAGCACCCAAAUGACAUUUUCAGUCUGUGAAAGUGUCACAUUUAGAACAGUAGCCCUAUCCUGUAACUUUUAACGACAAAUUCGCUAUCGUUACACGUCGCUGCGCAGCUAUUUUCCGAUAUGUUUCAGCUGCGCAACGACGCGUAACGAUAACAUCAUCGUUACGAAGUUAGAGAGUAGGCCUACAGAGUGGGAAUUAUGAGGAGAUUUCUCAGAAUAACGGAAGAAUCUGAUUUUAUUCGGUUUCAACAAUUCUAAUAAGUAUAUAUCUAUCUUGUGUUCCAAUUUUAUUGUAUAUAUUUCAGUUAAGUCAUUAAAUCCAUUUAUUUAAACGUUGAAAUUUAUCGAAGUAUCAAAUCUUAAAGGGAUUACUUUUUGAAAGUGAUGAUGACAGCAAAAUUGGUACUUUGAAUAAUCCAGAUAGCAAAAUGCUAGCAGCAUGCGCGCAGAUUGGCAGCAAAUUUAAUCAGAAUUCCAUGCCAAAACCAUAGCCAU